rnacentral:rRNA from 1 species
UACGUAGGGUGCAAGCGUUGUCCGGAAUUAUUGGGCGUAAAGAGCGUGUAGGCGGCCCGACCAGUCCGCUGUGAAAGUCCAGGGCUCAACCCUGGAAUGCCGGUGGAUACUGUCGGGCUAGAGUCCGGAAGGGGCGAGUGGAAUUCCUGGUGUAGCGGUGAAAUGCGCAGAUAUCAGGAGGAACACCGGUGGCGAAGGCGGCAUCCUGGACCGACACUGACGCUGAGGAGCGAAAGCCAGGGGAGCAAACGGG